AUUGAAAUCAAUUUAGUAGGAACAGGAGUGUUUUUUUCUUAGUGAUGAUUUUAGUGUAUGUAAAUUCUUCUUCAUCAUCAGAAUAAAUAAAAAAAGACUGGAUGAGGCAAUGAAAAAAUAAUGGAGAGUCUUGACGUUCUUCAAAUAUGCUGUAGUUAUAUUUUUCUCGAUUUAAAAAAACCUACAACAAUAUAUUUUAUGUCAGAAUAGUUUUUCUUUUUGAAAUACACAUCAAGAUUGAAA
rnacentral:lncRNA from 1 species